AACCCAUGGUGAGGGCAUCUUCACAAAAGGUCCUUAUAUCUGUCCCAUGCAUCGUAGAAUGUUUCUAAAUCUAUCUGCACAAAAGAAAAGUUAUCAUUACAUAGUUU
rnacentral:snoRNA from 1 species